GACAGAGGUGCCGAGCGUUAGGCGGAAUCACUGGGCUUAAAGCGUGUGUAGGCGGAUGGGUAAGUACCUUGUGAAAUCCCACGGCUCAACCGUGGAACUGCUCGGUAUACUGCUCGUCUUGAGCCAACUAGGGGCGACCGGAACAAAACGGUGGAGCGGUGAAAUGCGUAGAUAUCGUUUUGGAACGCCGAUGGUGAAAACAGGUCGCUGGGGUUGUGCUGACGCUGAGACACGAAAGCCAGGGGAGCGAACGGG
rnacentral:rRNA from 1 species